rnacentral:lncRNA from 1 species
AUUUUGAAAGAAGAAGCAUGUCCUUUGUUUCCUUUGUCCAUCUCUGUUCUUUGUUCUCUCAUUUCUUCUCCUAUCCAUAGAUGUACAAAGAAAUUGCUUCCAUUAUAAAGAAUGUGUCUUUCCUUACCUGUUAGUCUUUUCAUUCUGCUUACACUGCAUUUCUUGGGGUACAAGGGUCUUUCCAUUUUUUGAGAAGUAUUCCCUUUGUUUCCUUUGUUCCCCUCUGUUCUUUGUUCUCUUCUCACUUAUUCUCCUAUACAUAGAUGUACAAAGGAAUGGCUUCUUGUGUAGAGGGAAUUUCAUCCCCUCCCCCUACAGGAUUGCUGACCUGGCCCAUCCCACUUUUAAAUGGGAGUGUUUCCUCAGUGGACAUUAAUAAAGGGGUGUGGCUUGAGCCUAAAGGGGUCUCUUUGUUCUUUGUUCCCUCACCACUUCCUUGAGCAGGCUGGUGAAGGAUGGAUGGAGAUUCCUACAGGAUGGGCUACACCUUCUCAGACUGAGAGGAGGAAAGUAAAAGUCAGGAAGACUGAUCUGUGUAUCAGGCAAAUAUGUGCAGUGUUUCAUGCCAGUGGACCUCUCACCUCGUCGACAAGGUAGGUUGAUGGUUCCUUUUAUUACUUUCUUUAGAUUUCCCUUUGAUCUGAUACACUUUGUUUCAAGUACUUUUAAAUGUGAGCUGUCACUUUCAGAUUAUGGAAAUGCCUGUCCUUACCAUGCCUAGAUACUCUUGCAAAUAUUCACAAAGUUCUUUCCAUAAUAUGUUUUGAACGUUAAUACAUGUAUAACCAGAUCAAAUUGAUUUUUCGUUCCACUGGGAUUGGUUGGUCUCCUUGACCUUGUGUUCUCACUGUUUCACACUGUACAGCACUUCUUUUGUGAUCCCUUUUUCUAAAAUCAGACACAAUUAUUAGUAACAGUUCUUUGAUAUUUAACAAUUAAUGGCAGGUUUCUAUAAUCUGGGUUAGGUAUGGAUAUUUAGGCUAAAGGAUAUUUUAAACUUAUCCUUUAAUAUAAAUAA